AUUGAACGCUGGCGGCAUGCUUUACACAUGCAAGUCGAACGGUAACAGGCCGCAAGGUGCUGACGAGUGGCGAACGGGUGAGUAAUGCAUCGGAACGUGCCCAGUCGGGGGGGAUAACGCAGCGAAAGCUGCGCUAAUACCGCAUACGAUCUAUGGAUGAAAGCGGGGGACCGUAAGGCCUCGCGCGAUUGGAUCGACCGAUGUCAGAUUAGGUAGUUGGUGAGGUAAAGGCUCACCAAGCCAACGAUCUGUAGCUGGUCUGAGAGGACGACCAGCCACACUGGGACUGAGACACGGCCCAGACUCCGACGGGAGGCAGCAGUGGGGAAUUUUGGACAAUGGGCGCAAGCCUGAUCCAGCAAUGCCGCGUGCAGGAAGAAGGCCUUCGGGUUGUAAACUGCUUUUGUACGGAACGAAACGGUCCGGGUUAAUACCCUGGGCUAAUGACGGUACCGUAAGAAUAAGCACCGGCUAACUACGUGCCAGCCGCCGCGGUAACAC
rnacentral:rRNA from 1 species